CUCACAACAAGUCGGAUGGUUCUUCAUCGAAGGCGUAUCCUUCAGAUAAAGAUAAAGGUUUCCCUUUGACAUCAAGUCCAGUUGUGUCCGAUUCUAGGAUGUGGUGCUCAUCUCCAUUUCUAAGCUGAAGAGCCAGCGUUAUCCGUAGACACCUCCAAGGUCAUGUGGCCAGCAUGACUGCAUGGAGCACCAUGUUCCCGCCGAAGUGAUCGCCUUGAAUCAUUCACUCUCAGCACUGCUGACCUUACAAGCCUAUAGUAGGAAUGAGAUGGAAUAAAACCAUGAAUGCCACGCUGAGUUCAUCUUAGAAAAAGUUGCUUGAAUGACAGCCAAGAGUCAAAAAUGAAUCCUUUGAAUAAUAAAUUUCAAUUUUUAAAUCAA